rnacentral:rRNA from 1 species
CGUACACUCCUGCGGGAGGCAGCAGUAGGGAAUCUUCGGCAAUGGGGGCAACCCUGACCGAGCAACGCCGCGUGAGUGAAGAAGGUUUUCGGAUCGUAAAGCUCUGUUGUAAGUCAAGAACGAGUGUGAGAGUGGAAAGUUCACACUGUGACGGUAGCUUACCAGAAAGGGACGGCUAACUACGUGCCAGCAGCCGCGGUAAUACGUAGGUCCCGAGCGUUGUCCGGAUUUAUUGGGCGUAAAGCGAGCGCAGGCGGUUUGAUAAGUCUGAAGUUAAAGGCUGUGGCUCAACCAUAGUUCGCUUUGGAAACUGUCAAACUUGAGUGCAGAAGGGGAGAGUGGAAUUCCAUGUGUAGCGGUGAAAUGCGUAGAUAUAUGGAGGAACACCGGUGGCGAAAGCGGCUCUCUGGUCUGUAACUGACGCUGAGGCUCGAAAGCGUGGGGAGCGAACAGGAUUAGAUACCCCGGUAGUCCCAUG